CCUCCUGACGCGUCGCCGCCCCGGGUCCCAAAGCGCUUCACGCCGCAGCUGGCCCCGCCUCCUGUGGUGCUAGGCCGCCGCCCCCACCUCCUCCUGGUGCGCCGUCGUCCCCUUGUCCCGAUGCGCCUCCUGCCGCCGCCGGCCCCCACUCCACCACAACCACCACGCCGGCCUCCCUUUCCCCUGGAUCCACCGCGCCGGCGGGCUCCCUGCCCCUGGAUCCACCGUGACAGUGCCUCCCCCCCCUGGAUCCUUGGCGGCGGCGGAUUCCCUUGGAUCCAUGGCGGUGGCGGCGGACAGCCUCUCCCUGGAUCCAGCAGUCGUCAACCUCCCCCCGAGAACCUCCCUUCCCGUGCUGCAACCGGGCCACCGUUGCUGCGCCACCCGCCCCAAACACCAUAGCUCCUCCUCCAUGAAUACAUCGCGGACGGCAACCUGCUCAACGACGGCGCCAACCUAACUCUGACCAUGGCGACAGUCGACAGACGCCAAUGUUGCAGGCCUGUCUUCUUUGACCGGAAGACGCUCUAGUUUAGCAGCAUCAACAACGCAAAAAAGAGAGGAAGAAAAUGGAUGUCAGGAUCAUCUCUGGAGUCUUUGCAAUCCUGUGGAAGUUGGAAGGAAACAAAUGUUCCAGUAUCACUAUCAGCAUAUAUUUUCUAUUUGUCAACCCGGAGAAAGCGCGAUGGCACAACUAGUCUAGAUUGUGAGAAGAUCAUAUUCUGAAAGACUAAUGGAUAAGUUCGUUGUUUA